GACGAACGCUGGCGGCGUGCUUAACACAUGCAAGUCGAACGGAAAGGCCCUGCUUUUGUGGGGUGCUCGAGUGGCGAACGGGUGAGUAACACGUGAGUAACCUGCCCUUGACUUUGGGAUAACUUCAGGAAACUGGGGCUAAUACCGGAUAGGAGCUCCUGCUGCAUGGUGGGGGUUGGAAAGUUUCGGCGGUUGGGGAUGGACUCGCGGCUUAUCAGCUUGUUGGUGGGGUAGUGGCUUACCAAGGCUUUGACGGGUAGCCGGCCUGAGAGGGUGACCGGCCACAUUGGGACUGAGAUACGGCCCAGACUCCUACGGGAGGCAGCAGUGGGGAAUAUUGCACAAUGGGCGGAAGCCUGAUGCAGCAACGCCGCGUGCGGGAUGACGGCCUUCGGGUGGUAAACCGCUUUCGCCUGUGACGAGGCGUGAGUGACGGUAAUGGGUAAAGAAGCACCGGCUAACUACGU
rnacentral:rRNA from 1 species